AGGCAACAGAAAUGAUAGUGGAGACAGCCAGCUGCCCUAAUUCUCAAGACUUCUGGAACUGGGCAGUGGGCCCAUCUAUCUGAAGUUCUCAUGGUUCUUGGCUAAAUUCUGAUUAAGACAAUACUAUCCCUAUUUAGUAUAAAACCCAUCAAAUGCAAAAAAUCUUCAUUUUUUUGCUGCCUGGUCAGAGAACAUAUACCCUAAAAGGGGAUUUCAACAGAUAUUCAACAACUGUUGCAUUAGAUACCCGUUAGUAGAUGGGCAGAGAUGUUUAAGUAUCUAUUUCCUUUUUUGCAUUGCUAUACUCCCAAUAUCUACAAGAGUACCAGAGCACCAGUACAGUUGAAAGACCUUAGAUUAGUAACGAACAGCUGUUAUUUAUUGGAGUCAUAUUAAUGCCAAGGACUUUUCAAAGACUAAUUAAGUCUGCCUUUCAGCUCUAGGCGAUGGUUGCUCGUGUCACAGAUGGCAAACGGAGGCACAGACCAAUUAAUUUACUAAAGACAAUCAAGCAAAUAAAGCACAAGCUGUUCCAUGACCUUGGUUUCAACAUGUUGCAAGAACAAGUUUUCAGAGGCACUUGGGAAUGAAAAUACACCACUAGCUAGGUAACCAUUAUCCAUUCCUCUUUCUGAGCAUAUAAAAGAGCAUUGCUUAUGUAAUCAAAGUGGAACUCUCCUUCAUCACAUGCAUUUCUCCACCGAACAGCCAAAUAAACACAGAGCUCAGCACCUGCUAAAUAGCAGGGUCUUUUCACCAGCAUCCUGCACCUGAGUCAGUAAUACUAAGAGCAUCACACUGCACAGAUGGAGGAACCUUCUAAGUAGUUCCAAUGGAGACAGAGUCCAAAGCAGAGAUCAGCUAAACUCCUUAACAUACUGGGAAGAUGAAAGAACAGCAGGACAGGACAGAAUGUGGAGAAUACAGUGCACCACUGAAAAAUACGAUGCAGUCUCUGAAGAAAACAAUGAGAUAUUAAUAAAGACUAAAGGGAGUAAAUUUUUAAAUCCAUUAUGUAUUCAGAUAUAAUAAUUAAAGAAUUUCUCAAAAACAUUCUGUGAUUCACAAGAGCUAAGAUGUGGAAAUAACAGAAGCGUCCAUUGGUGGGUGAACAGGUAAGGAAAAUGUGAUCUGAACACACAUACACACACACACACACACACAUACACACACAUGAAUAUUAUUCAGCCUUGAAAAAGGAAAAUUGUUUGCCACAAUACGGAUGGGUCUGUAGGACAUUAUGCUAAAUGGGACAAGACAGAUACAGAAAAAAAAAUAUUGUAUCGAUCUCAUUUGUAUGUG
rnacentral:lncRNA from 1 species